GCUAAUCGAAAUGAAGACUCUGUUCUCAUCUUCAACGCAGCCUCCUUGAAGGUCAAAGUCAUUGGACAAAAGAUAUUUAAGUUAAUUCUGGAUACUUUGUGUGAAAAUCAAUGAUUGAAUCAAAGGCACUGAGUGAUGGCCUCAGAGUUCAUCGACUGGUCCUGGUCAGAAUCCACCCAUUCUAAGGCUGAAAUCAAGGUGUCAACCAAACUGAGUUCUCACUGGAUGCUCUCAGUUUCUAUUUUAUGCAGGGCCAGGCUUGGACUAUUAUGAAUGUUGCUGAACACUGUUAAUCAAGCUUACACAGCUAUUUUGAUGGCAAACAAUUAGAACUCUGCAGCUCUACCUUGCAAUUAGCUUCAGGGAUAUGGACCUCGCACCAUAAUAAUGAAAGAGACCUCCUUCAAGCACGGUGUUCAACAGCAUAAUUAUCUACUUUGCACAGAACUCCAUGUUAACAACUUUAAGUAUAUGUGAAGGAAAUCACAAGGACAAGAUACAAAGGAACGAAGGACAAGAUACAAAUCAGUGUGUCCAACUUCUGCCUAUUGGCUGUCCAUGCAAUCCCACCUUCCUGCCAGAAGACUGCAUCCUAAAUCUCACCCGUGAGGUUUUUACGACUCUCCGGCCAUAUUUCCAGAGACGCCAGAUCUGGAUGAGCAGUGCAUACCAUCUAGCCUAAUGGCAUCAUCUUACAAUAUAAAAUAAA